GAGUUUGAUCCUGGCUCAGGAUGAACGCUGGCGGCGUGCCUAACACAUGCAAGUCGAACGGACCCUUCGGGGUUAGUGGCGGACGGGUGAGUAACACGUGGGAACGUGCCCUUUGGUACGGAACAACUCGGGGAAACUUGAGCUAAUACCGUAUAAGCCCUACGGGGGAAAGAUUUAUCGCCAUUGGAGCGGCCCGCGUCUGAUUAGCUAGUUGGUGAGGUAAAGGCUCACCAAGGCUACGAUCAGUAGCUGGUCUGAGAGGAUGAUCAGCCACAUUGGGACUGAGACACGGCCCAAACUCCUACGGGAGGCAGCAGUGGGGAAUCUUGCGCAAUGGGCGAAAGCCUGACGCAGCCAUGCCGCGUGAAUGAUGAAGGUCUUAGGAUUGUAAAAUUCUUUCACCGGGGACGAUAAUGACGGUACCCGGAGAAGAAGCUCCGGCUAACUUCGUGCCAGCCGCCGCCGU
rnacentral:rRNA from 1 species